GAUGAACGCUAGCGGGAGGCCUAACACAUGCAAGCCGAGCGGUAUUUGUUCUUCGGAACAGAGAGAGCGGCGCACGGGUGCGGAACACGUGUGCAACCUGCCUUUAUCUGGGGGAUAGCCUUUCGAAAGGAAGAUUAAUACCCCAUAAUAUAUUGAGUGGCAUCAUUUGAUAUUGAAAACUCCGGUGGAUAGAGAUGGGCACGCGCAAGAUUAGAUAGUUGGUGAGGUAACGGCUCACCAAGUCAAUGAUCUUUAGGGGGCCUGAGAGGGUGAUCCCCCACACUGGUACUGAGACACGGACCAGACUCCUACGGGAGGCAGCAGUGAGGAAUAUUGGACAAUGGGUUAGCGCCUGAUCCAGCCAUCCCGCGUGAAGGACGACGGCCCUAUGGGUUGUAAACUUCUUUUGUAUAGGGAUAACCUACUCUCGUGAGAGUAGCUGAAGGUACUAUACGAAUAAGCACCGGCUAACUCCGUG
rnacentral:rRNA from 1 species